rnacentral:rRNA from 1 species
UGGGGAAUUUUGGACAAUGGGCGAAAGCCUGAUCCAGCAAUGCCGCGUGUGUGAAGAAGGCCUUCGGGUUGUAAAGCACUUUUGUCCGGAAAGAAAUCCUUGGCUCUAAUACAGUCGGGGGAUGACGGAACCGGAAGAAUAAGCACCGGCUAACUACGUGCCAGCAGCCGCGGUAAUACGUAGGGUGCAAGCGUUAAUCGGAAUUACUGGGCGUAAAGCGUGCGCAGGCGGUUUGCUAAGACCGAUGUGAAAUCCCCGGGCUCAACCUGGGAACUGCAUUGGUGACUGGCAGGCUAGAGUAUGGCAGAGGGGGGUAGAAUUCCACGUGUAGCAGUGAAAUGCGUAGAGAUGUGGAGGAAUACCGAUGGCGAAGGCAGCCCCCUGGGGCCAAAUACUGACGCUCAUGCACGAAAAGCGUGGGGGAGCAAAACAGGAUUAGAUACCCUGGUAGUCCACGCCCUAAAACGAUGUCAACUAGUUGUUGGGGAUUCAUUUCCUUAGUAACGUAGCUAACGCGUGAAGUUGACCGCCUGGGGGAGUACGGUCGC